rnacentral:rRNA from 1 species
AUACGGAGGGUGCGAGCGUUAAUCGGAAUUACUGGGCGUAAAGCGUACGUAGGCGGUUGGUUAAGUUAGAUGUGAAAGCCCCGGGCUCAACCUGGGAACUGCAUUUAAAACUGGCGAACUAGAGUUGAGUAGAGGGGAGUGGAAUUUCAGGUGUAGCGGUGAAAUGCGUAGAGAUCUGAAGGAACACCAGUGGCGAAGGCGACUCCCUGGACUCGAACUGACGCUGAGGUACGAAAGCGUGGGUAGCAAACGGGAUUAGAAACCCUAGUAGUCC